GUACCUGCCGUCGGAAGAUUUGAACUUUCUACUUGGACACCUAACACCCGCAGUCCUCCAGCUGCGUUCGGACCCCUGUCGUAUUGUAAAUCCCACGCAAGGUACCUGCCGUCGGAAGAUUUGAGCUUUCUUCUUGAACACCUCAUACCCACAGUCCUCCAGGGGCCACUGGGAUCAAGAGAGGGCAACAUUGCAACUCUCCAUGCUCCUGCAAUAUCCAUAGCUAUUCUGUAGACAGAAGGACAACAGGUACAAAGUCCUAAGGAUUAUAAAGGUAUGCUGCUUGCCAUCAUCUUAGUGACCAAGGCAGCGAAGCUGUUUCUGUACCUUGGAACAGUCUUCCCUGACAAGCCAGAGAACAGCGAUAAAGCCACCAGCCUUGGGAUCAGGACUGAAAAGGCAAGAGUGAUGGAGAUUUCUCCUGCGCUAAGCCAAGAGAAGGUUUCAGCACCUCAGACAGCUCCCACCGAAGUAGCGGCGCUCCCAGCUGCUUGCAGAUGUGGAAAAGGAAAGCCUCGGUUUGUCUUGAGGUUGUCAGCAGUUGCAAGACACGUAAUAAAAUGCAAUGUGUUCCU